AUCUAGCUGACAAAUCCCAAACAGAACGAAACGUACGUCCUGAAU
rnacentral:hammerhead_ribozyme from 1 species